ensembl:miRNA
CUUGUCAGAACUCCCACUCAUGUAAACUUCUUCUUCAUGACGUGGUAGCUUUGCUCAGC